UACGUAGGCAGCGAGCGUUGUUCGGAAUUACUGGGCGUAAAGAGUGUGUAGGCGGUGCCCUAAGUUCGGUGUGAAAUCUCCCGGCUUAACUGGGAGGGUGCGCCGGAAACUGGAGUGCCCGAGCGUGGGAGAGGAAAGCGGAAUUCCCGGUGUAGCGGUGAAAUGCGUAGAUAUCAGGAGGAAUACCGAUGGCGAAGGCAGGUCUCUGGGCUGACACUGACGCUCAUGCACGAAAGCGUGGGGAGCAAACAGG
rnacentral:rRNA from 1 species